UACGUAGGGGCCAAGCGUUGUCCGGAGUUACUGGGCGUAAAGCGCGCGCAGGUGGCUCAUUACGCCCGGCGUGAAAGCCCCCGGCCUAACCGGGGAGGGUCGUCGGGGACGGGUGAGCUUGAGGGUAGCUGGGGCUGGUAGAAUUCCCGGUGUAGUGGUGAAAUGCGUAGAGGUCGGGAGGAAUACCCGUGGCGAAGGCGGCCAGCUGGGCUACACCUGACACUGAGGCGCGAAGGCGUGGGGAGCGAAC
rnacentral:rRNA from 1 species